rnacentral:lncRNA from 1 species
CUCCAGUGCUGAAGGAUAGGCCGGAUCCAUCAGCCCUGCUGGGCCAAGGCCCCACCUUUUUCUGUGUGUGUGGACCCCAGCACAGACACUUCUUGGUUUGUCAGUGGAGAGCACGCUCCUUCUCCCCUCUGCCCCUAGAAGCUGCAGGAGCUAAGAGCUCACUGCUGGGCAGCCCCACCUGGAGUGUCUUAUCUUUCAUCGCCUUGGAGUGGUUGUGUUGGCUACCCUCCUUUCUUGAUCUGAUUGAAAUGAAUGGGCCAAGUAGCAAAAUAUCCAUGAUUGCCCUCCCAGGAUGAGGACCUGCGCUUUGGAAGGCCUCUUCUCAUCCUAGGGGCAGCGACUGUGACACUGACUCUACCCACACUCACUGCUGCGUCAUGGUCCUGGGAGUUUUUGCUGACUCUCUCACCCUGAGACGCAUGGUAUUCUGUAGGGUUUGCCUCAUCUGUUCUCCACUGUCUUCCCUAUUCUCACAUCAUAGCCCCGGCUAAUACCUAACACCUCGAAUUCUCUCUGUUUCCUGCCAACACUGACCUUUCUCACUGCCUGGAAACACCCCCACCUGCGUGCUCCAUGGGUGUCUUGAACUCUGUAUGUUCAAAACUAACUUUUCUGUCUUCACCCCAAAGCCAGUGUGCCUCCUCAUGUUCCCAAGCUAAGACAGUUAGUGUCCCAAACUGAAAACUGUCCCCAUUUGAAACUCCUUUUUGUCCCUCACCCCUCCCUCUCAUAUCUAAUCAAUUGCAAAGUCUAGCCAUUUCUACUCCAACAAUAACCUUAAAUCCACUUUAUGUUACCCAUCGCUGCCAUUCCUGCCUUGGUUAAGGCACUAUCACAUUUGUCUCUAACCACCUCCUUGCUGGUCUCCCUGCCGCCCUUAGACUCCCACAGACCCUUCCAGAGUGAUUUUUCUAAGCACCAGAGCUGUUAUGCCCCUGCCUAAUGCCCUUGUCCCUUUUUCCCCACCAGCCUGACUCCCCCUCACUGUGCCCUGGGUUGCAGUCACACAAGGCUGCCACAGUUCCCUGAGCAGCCAAAACCUUCAUGCUUCUUCCUCCAUGUCCUUUCCCAUUCUCUAGACUCAGCCAGACACCGCCUUUCUUGAGAAGUCAUCUGAGUUCCCUGAAGAACACUCUUUCCUUCCUCUUCCUUCCCACACCCCCCCUUUUCUCUUUUACCUUGGUACUCAUGGUGCCACGCUGAGAUUGUUAACAAGCCUGACUGCCGCUGGAUUGCAGGACACCUCAGGGGCACGGCCCCUUGUCACAUUUAGUUUUGCUCCCUACCAAGUACCUGGUCCUUAGUAAAUGUUCCUACCAUAUGGAAAGAAAGACAAAAAGAAGGGCUCAGUGGAGAUUUUCUACUCAACCUGGUUGUGCUGGAUUUUUAAUGUCUGCCUCCUCAGCAGGCAUCCCCACUUCAUGUAACUAUGGCUCCUGGUAUCUAGGGGGGUACCCUCUCCUCCUGUCUGGGAACGCAAUGCUCUGGGGGCAGCUCACGUUCAGGCUUAAACAGAGCCAAUCAGCACAGCACAUUCCUGUGGCUUUGGUGAAUCACUCCCUCCCCCGUGCUUCACUUUUCAUCUUUUAAGAAGGUUCUCUUUCCUGCUGGACUUGAACCAGGGGAGAUGUAAGUCUGGGGCUGCUCUCACCUUCUUGCCGCUGUGUGGAGCCUGCAAAUGACAGUGAUUCCUGGAGGGGAGCAGAGCUGAGCACAUAGGUAUGGAGAAGACAUAAUUAAGGUAAGGAUCAAGACGAGAUCACACUGGAAAAGGUGGGCCCUAAAUCCAGUGAGAGGAUAGGAAGGCCAGCACUCUUAUUCUGUCCUAAUAAGAGACAGAGACGGGCACACAGAGACACAGAAGAAGGCCAUGUGUUGAUGGAGGCAGAGACUGGAGUGAUGCCGUCCCAAGCCAGGGAGUGCCUGGCUCCGCCAGGCACUGGAAGAGGCACUGAAUGGAUGCUUCUCGAGAGCCUUUGGAGGGAGCAUGACCCUGCUGACACCUUGAUUUUGCACUUCUGGCUUCUGGAACUAUGAGAGGGAGUCCUCUGUGGUAAACUGGUGGAGUCCAAAGCAAUUGUGUUUGACAAAUAAAACCGAAUGAUCUGGGUGAUGAAAACGUAAUAGCAAAAGACCAAUCCUGAAGAAUCCUCAGGGCCCGGGUGAGGAGGGAGGUGAAGCUCCAGCUCUGCUGUACCUAAAGUCUGACAAAUAAAAGUCCUGAGAAUGGAGGAGGUCUGGAUGUAAAUGUCUUGUCUCCAGGGGUCUCUACCAGCUGAGCAUGCCCAUGUUCUGUGU